ACUGGGAGAGGGGAUUUUGGAGGGUUGGGGGGGUGAUGGCUGUUACUGGUUGUUACUGGGAGUAACUGGGGGUCACUGGGAGUGACUGGGGGUCACUGGGAGUUACUGGGAGUAACUGGGAGUAACUGGGAGGGGGCUUGGGGGGCACUGGGAAGGCUGGGGGGGGGUGAAGGUUGUUACUGGUUGUUACUGGUGUUUACUGGUGCCCCUCCCCCCCCGCAGGGCGCAGAGCGAGUGGGGGGAGGGGCUGCGGGGGCUGUUCCUCAGCGCCGCCCGCUUCGCCCUCCUGCGCCUGGAGGACGGGACCCCCCACCCCCCCAGCUGGAGGCCGCAGCUGCUGGUGCUGGUGAAGCUGGACGCGGAGCUGGUGGCCACUCAGCCCCACUUGGUGGCCCUGGGGGCGCAGCUCCAGGGGGGGAAGGGGCUCCUGGUCCUGGGCUCCGUCCUCCCGGGGGACCUGCCCCACGACCUGCCCCGCGCUCGCCUGGCCGAGGCCGCGCUGCGGGCCGGGCUGGCGGCGUGUGGGGCGCAGGGCUUCGUGCAGGUGCUGGUGUCGGGGGGCCGGGGCCCGGGGCUGGCGGGGCUGGUGCAGGGCUGUGGGGUGGGGGCCCUGCGCCCCGACACCCUCCUGCUGGGCUGGCCCCACAAGUGGAGGGGGGACCCCGGCACCGCCCGCAGG
rnacentral:lncRNA from 1 species